GAUGAACGCUGGCGGCGUGCCUAAUACAUGCAAGUCGAGCGAACGGACGAGAAGCUUGCUUCUCUGAUGUUAGCGGCGGACGGGUGAGUAACACGUGGAUAACCUACCUAUAAGACUGGGAUAACUUCGGGAAACCGGAGCUAAUACCGGAUAAUAUUUUGAACCGCAUGGUUCAAAAGUGAAAGACGGUCUUGCUGUCACUUAUAGAUGGAUCCGCGCUGCAUUAGCUAGUUGGUAAGGUAACGGCUUACCAAGGCAACGAUGCAUAGCCGACCUGAGAGGGUGAUCGGCCACACUGGAACUGAGACACGGUCCAGACUCCUACGGGAGGCAGCAGUAGGGAAUCUUCCGCAAUGGGCGAAAGCCUGACGGAGCAACGCCGCGUGAGUGAUGAAGGUCUUCGGAUCGUAAAACUCUGUUAUUAGGGAAGAACAUAUGUGUAAGUAACUGUGCACAUCUUGACGGUACCUAAUCAGAAAGCCACGGCUAACUACGUGCCAGCAGCCGCGGUAAUACGUAGGUGGCAAGCGUUAUCCGGAAUUAUUGGGCGUAAGCGCGCGUAGGCGGUUUUUUAAGUCUGAUGUGAAAGCCCACGGCUCAACCGUGGAGGGUCAUUGGAAACUGGAAAACUUGAGUGCAGAAGAGGAAAGUGGAAUUCCAUGUGUAGCGGUGAAAUGCGCAGAGAUAUGGAGGAACACCAGUGGCGAAGGCGACUUUCUGGUCUGUAACUGACGCUGAUGUGCGAAAGCGUGGGGAUCAAACAGGAUUAGAUACCCUGGUAGUCCACGCCGUAAACGAUGAGUGCUAAGUGUUAGGGGGUUUCCGCCCCUUAGUGCUGCAGCUAACGCAUUAAGCACUCCGCCUGGGGAGUACGACCGCAAGGUUGAAACUCAAAGGAAUUGACGGGGACCCGCACAAGCGGUGGAGCAUGUGGUUUAAUUCGAAGCAACGCGAAGAACCUUACCAAAUCUUGACAUCCUUUGACAACUCUAGAGAUAGAGCUUUCCCCUUCGGGGGACAAAGUGACAGGUGGUGCAUGGUUGUCGUCAGCUCGUGUCGUGAGAUGUUGGGUUAAGUCCCGCAACGAGCGCAACCCUUAAGCUUAGUUGCCAUCAUUAAGUUGGGCACUCUAAGUUGACUGCCGGUGACAAACCGGAGGAAGGUGGGGAUGACGUCAAAUCAUCAUGCCCCUUAUGAUUUGGGCUACACACGUGCUACAAUGGACAAUACAAAGGGCAGCGAAACCGCGAGGUCAAGCAAAUCCCAUAAAGUUGUUCUCAGUUCGGAUUGUAGUCUGCAACUCGACUACAUGAAGCUGGAAUCGCUAGUAAUCGUAGAUCAGCAUGCUACGGUGAAUACGUUCCCGGGUCU
rnacentral:rRNA from 1 species